CAGGGAGACAACAAAAUGUUAAAUAUUAAUUUUGUCACCUUAGGUCGAUCGGUAUCUCACAUUCUUAAUCAAUUUAAGAAUUUUAUUUCCUAAGUUUUUCUAGGUCACACCCAUCAUUUUUCCUGGGCCAUUAGCUCAGGUGGUUAGAGCGCACCCCUGAUAAGGGUGAGGUCCCUGGUUCAAGUCCAGGAUGGCCCAUAUCUCUAUGUUGGGGGUAUAGCUCAGUUGGUAGAGCGCCUGCUUUGCAAGCAGGAUGUCAGCGGUUCGAGUCCGCUUACCUCCACUGAUUACCACCUCUUCCAUAAUUCUAUGAGAAGGAAAUGUUUUGAGUAGUGAUCAAAUUCUGAACGAAGCUAGCUUCCUAAUGAAAUCAUUAAGAUGCUGGACUCAUUGAAUUAAUUUCAUUGUUUUCAGAGAACCUUGACAACUGCAUAGAUUAUUUUUAAAGACAAUAAGCAUCUUUAAUGAUGCAGAUUUAUUAUUUGUGCGAAUGCAUUAAUAACAAUUCUAUUAAGCUGAUGCUUCAAUUUUUUGAAGUUAUU
rnacentral:tRNA from 1 species